rnacentral:lncRNA from 10 species
ACGCUCUCUAGUGGAGUGUUGUUUCUGCCUGAUGAGGAACCCCCAAAGGAUUUGGAACAGAGGCGGCAAUUUUCAGAUGUUUUGUAUAAGUUGCACUUCCCUUCUAUUAUCCUCAAACAAUAUGUUUUAAAAUGCUCCAAAUCCUAAAAAUCUGAAAAUGAUUAAAUGUAGUUCCUGGCCUCUCCUUUACUAAGAGAAAUUAAAGAAAAAGGAGACGCCCAACUGCUGGAGUGCACAUGUCUAGUGGAGUUGUUUACCCUUUCCCAAGUCCGAGGUGGCUUUGGCAGCAGCAAUUAUGGUUGGAGAAAACCGUGCCUGCAGUGAUGUUCUCACAGACAGUUCAGUAGAAAAAGGCCAGCUGAAGAGAGAUUCUGGAGCAACCAGCACCUGAGCCAGUGGUGUGGAUGCCCUGCCAUGAGGGCCUGCAGCAGCAUGCAGUGAGAACAUUCGGGAUUUCCUUUUGAGAAUGUCAAGUCAUCACGGACAGCGGCUCAUGAGUCAGACCUCACCCCGUGUAUCAUCGUCAGAACACCAUCCAUGGUGGUUUGGACCAUUACGCAGUUUUAAAUUGUUUUUGUUCUUAUUCAUUGUUUAAUUUAUAUCUGUG